UGAAAUAAAAUUUUAAACCUCGUCUGCUAUUAAGCUGUUUUAAAAUUUAAAUAUAUUUUCUAACUCAUUCAUCUUCUCUUGUUGAUAAAAUUGAGUUGAUGUUUUGUAUAAAAGGAAUGUAAAGUAUUUGUGUCAGUGGUACAUGACAUAUGGGAGAACAGGUAAAUGUAGGAGUUUAGACGGGAAUAUCCAGGGAAAGUUACUUGGUUCUCAAAGCUUGCAAGGUACAGGUAAUACUGCAGGUACAAACCACUGUGCAAUGAAUUUACAGACGGGCGUUGUCUAAAGAUAUCAAAAAGAGAAUUGGUACAAGAUAUUGACACCAGUGGACUCUAAGCUUGAUUGGUCUGAUUGGGAAGGAAGAAUUAAGGUGAAGGAAAAUAAACUUGAGUUUGUAUCAGCCACCAUAAUCAAGUGUUUCCUGUGUUUGAGAAGGGGUGUUACAGAAUGGCUGUCCAAGGAAUAUAAAAGUUAAACAAAACAUAACAAUGGGAGUCAGGGCGAUUUGACAACACCUACAACUGUAGACAGAUAAUCCAAGUAAUAGUGAGGAAUGUUAUUGGUUGGGAAGAAGCCAUGUAGAAGAUUCUUGACAAUCAUAAAAAUCGAUUAGUUGAAGACUUGGUAGUUUGGUCUGCACACCUGUAUAAAAACGGAUUAUGUCUAAAAAAAAGAGUAAUCAGAAGCAAGGAAGAUAUAAAGAUAGCUACAGGAUCUUCUAAAAACAUCAGAAACUUGCAGUAUUAUACCAAUUAAACAUGGUCUAGAUAUAUCUACAUUUAGAGUUCUGGAGUUCUGUAUGGAAGGUCAUCACCUGUACAGAUAUAUAGAAUAUAUAAAGAAGAGCGAAAAGAGAUAAGAGAAAGAAGAAUCACCGAGUUGUUGAAGAGAAAAGAGAUAAGAGAAAGAAGAAUCACUGAGUUGUUGAAGAGAAAAGAUGAACAGAUUGUCAGGCAUGUAGCAGACAAUUUACAGAUAUAUAAUAAAUAACAACCUAAGAAGACAAGUCAUUGGAGGUCCAUAUUCUAAUAAAGGAUGCUGUCUGGGAUGAAACACUGAUAAAACAUACUUUAGUCUGUUUGGGAUCAGCUCAUCAAAAGGUCAUGAAUAACCUUGGAUGAUUACGAGAGAAAAGACCACCAGUUAAGAAAAUCUACCGAAAUCUAUGUUGACCAUUUGACAGUAAAUAUUAUAAUGUAUGUAAGGGUGUAUAAAUAAUUAUUAAUUUCAAUUUCAUAAAAAAUGAAAAAUUUAAAACCUAUUUACCAAGACUAACAUUGUUCAGUUCAUUAACUUUAUUUUUAUGAAUGAGUUACUGCAUUGAGAAGAAAAGUGUAAUAUUCCCAUAAAAGAUUCAAUCAGUAUAAUUAAGAUUUAAUUUCAUUUGGAUUUUUCUUAUAACCACAGGUGUUCAUUUUAAAAGGGUAGCAAUUUUUCAGUUAGUUAAAUUGUAAGGGUUGAACAAUCAUGAAAAAAAUUCAAUAAAAUAAUGGCCACCCCCUAACCUGUUAUUAGGCAUGGUGACCAUUCUGAUGAACCAUAGUGAAAAAAAAUUGUAAAAAAAUGAAAUGAUGUGUGUGAAUACCACACGUAUAUAGUGAUUUAAAAUUUGAUUGUUAUUAUUUUUGUAACCACAAUUGAUGUCAGAACAGUAUAACAGACUGUUUAGGGGGCCUUUAAUAGAGCAUGGGGUAUCCCUGCUGCAUCUAAGUAGAAAUAAAAAGCUCACAUAGGGUCCAGUUCAUACCAGAACAGUAUAGGCAGUUAAGAGGGCCUUUAAUAGAGUAUUGGGUAUUCCUACUGGAUCUAAGUAGGAAUGAAAAGCUCACAUAGGGUCAAGUUGAUGUCAGAACAGU